rnacentral:lncRNA from 7 species
UAUAGCCUUACAGCACUGCAGUGGAUCUGCUGGGUUGGUUGCCAAACAAGAGGCUUCAAUCUCAGCUCCUACAAAUUCACAGCAAUAAGACUUUUCCCUGUAGGAGCUCUGGUCCUUUGAGGGCACCCAAAAAGGCCUUACAAGCUUCCCAUCCCUAUAGCAAUAGAUUACAACUCAGACUAUAGCCAUCGUCUGCCCAGAGGACAGUGAUGAGGGACAAGGCUUUUUGCCUGCUGCCCAGGUGAGCUUUACUAGGGGCAGUCUGCCUGUUCCAAGAUAUGGACAGCUUCACUGCAAGAAACAAAACCAGAAAAAAUUGACUCUUUUUUUCAUUAAAGACCUUCUCAGCUCUUCUUCACAUCUUCAUCAGCCUCCUACCACAUCCCAGGAUGGAAGGAUGCUAGCACAGAUUACAUCUGUCUGUACGUUGAUAAAAUAUAGUGCACUACGCAAGACGAGGUGGUGUGGUUUUGGUUGUGGUGUGAAACAGGAGGAACACCUACGUGGGAUGAUGCCAAACAUCAUGUGACACACUUGAGUGACCUUUGAUCAUACCACCUUUAACAAGGCAGCAAAGCAGACACCCUCAACCCUAUUUUUUUUUCUGGUUUCCUUCCCACAUUUCAACCAUGAAGAUUUCAGUCCUGUGUCUAUAGUCCAGAAGGCCACAUUGUGGUGCCUUCAUUUGGAUGUAGAAGGACUUUGCCGUGGCUGGGUGAUGAUACCAGCCAAGGACAACAGAUAGUUUUUCCUCACGGUGCACGCUAGUAAGCAUUCAAUAUAAUCAAGCUCUCUAAUUAGAAUAACUAGAUUCAAAGCAAGUAGUGCUGCCCUGAGCCUGCUGGGUGGCACACACUGUAAAAUGUAAUAGGUCAGCGAUCAGACUGACUGGUAAGCUCUGCACGGUGGCUUUUUAGAGUGAAAGACUAAGUUGUUCACGUCUGUUCUGCUUACCAGCAAAGAGAAGCAUGCAUCUAAAUAUCUACUGUUCUUUUCUUUUUCUGGAGCUGCUUGGAUGUGUUGGCUUCCAGAGUCCCAUCACUGAUGCCCAUGUGUGUCAGCACUGAGAACUGCAGGCAGCAUGACACAAAGCCAUGGACCUCACACCACCAUUGGCUGCUCUCCCUGUUCCCUUCCUAAAAUCAAGACAGCUUUGUCAGCGUAGACAUGGAAUCUCAUGUGAAGACCUCUGCACUUCAUAGAAAGAACGGACGAUACUCAACAGGAAAUGUGGUGAGGAUGAUGCUGUCCAGCUGAUAGGGCUGCUCGCUGUGAGCUGCAGGAUCCAGGGAGUGUGCAGUGCUGGGAAGAGCAAGCAAACUGCAGUGUGCUGGAUCCCAUGGAGCAAGGAACUGAAGCCUGGGGCUUUGUGUGCCUUGCUCUGACACCUCACCUGUGUGAGAGCCUUUGACCACAGCUUCUUACUCAGGAAAGCAGCAAGAGAGCUGUCUUAAUUCCACCUAAACAUCCCAGACUGUCUGUGUGAUGUGUAUGUACAGCAGCCUGGCUAACACACUGAUAAGGAGAGCAGAAACCACCGCCACCCUCCCCGGGUUUACCCCAGGUGCCCUAUUUCCUUUGACAUAACUAAAGUUCACAUACCCACACUGCAGGCUGUGCUCCUUGCACUGCUGCAGAUCCCCACUUUCACUCUUGGGCAGACUUCUCAUACAGAAACGGUUGGUGCCAGUAAGCCUGACCAAAAACCACGCUGCGUGCUCAAGGCAGGGAAGCUAUCAGCUCAGCUUGGUUACGUGCUUAAUUCAAUGGAUUGUGGUUCCUCCUUUCCCUUCCUCUCAG